CGGGGCGUAGCGUAGCGGCCAGCGCGCUGCUUUUGGGUGGCAGAGAUCGCGGGUUCGAGUCCCGCCGCCCCGA
rnacentral:tRNA from 1 species